GUCAGUUUUACAAAGGUAUGUUUGGCAGCAUGAUUGAAGGAUGCAAUAAAGACACAGUUCACAUAUGGAAGCAAUGUUUCCUUACCUCCUUUGCCAUAUUCCUUGCUGAUAUUCUGCAUAGCAACGGGGACAUGUGAAAGACAAGCCUGACUUCUCCCCUCUCUGGGCCCCAGGUGACUGAGGUCCAUAUGUUGGAGGCAGUGCAGCUGCCAACACCAGAGUCGGAAAGGAGAUAUUCUAAUGACGAGUUCAACAGUUCAAUUAUAUAAGCAUGUUCUGCAGAUAAGACAUCUUAAUUAUCUAUGUUACUUAGCCAGUUCUGAUUUCUCCACCCCACUACUUUUCCACCACUGAGUACAUCUAUUGUAUGGUCAGCCAAAAAUAUUGUUUGACCAUUUCUCCAAUAUCCGGCAUACAAGUUAAAUUGACCUGUCAAUGUUCAGACUACUUUUACAUUUAUGGUCCGGUUGCAUAUUGACUUAAUUAGCCUAUGUUCAUUUUAUGAAUGUUGUAUGCUAUGAAGAGAAUUAUUAAGCAUUAUUGAUUUGUGUUCAGGCAUGCUGUUUUUGAUCAUGAGCAGCCAUUCAUGUGUUGUGCAGGUGUAUAAGUUGUUGGAAGUAUAACAAUGAGGAGAGAAUGUCAUGGCCUAUGUACAAACAAUUAAUGUUUUCCUCCCCAAACAGAUACUGGUUUGAGGAACGAACCCGCAGAACUGGGACAGAAUCUGUUUUCAGCAAUGUUCCCUGGCAGGCGACGAUGUGCUGCUGAUGGCCAGAGAGUUAAUGCAGAGAGAGAAGGCACUAAGUGACCCAACUGUCCCAAUGCAUGUUAACAUCGGUGGUGCCAGAAUGGAGGUGGCCAAAGAGAUCCUGGACAAAGAUGGAGUGCUCCACAUGCUCCAGUUGGUACCACACCUCCUGUGCUGGGGUAUCCAUCAGCAUUUACCAUCAACACAUGGAUAAUCCUGCCUUACAAUGGAUAUGCCCACCCUGCCACAAUUGAAGACCUGCACACCAAGGCUACUAUUGGGUUGAUACUGUGUCAAAUCGAUAUAAUGUCCAGAGUUGUAAACGAUUUACAACUACAGUAGAUGGUAUAUUUUAGGGCUGUCCCCAACGGGAAAAAAAUCUUGGUUGACUUAGUCUUCCUGUUCUUUCCACCAAUCGAUUGGUCUAAAUGUUUAAAUGUAUUUUUCCAUAUAGUGUUUGAUUUCAUUUUGCUGUUGCGUUAGGCUUGACGCUCAUGGAAUCAGUAAGCUAUUAAACACUCAUACAGCCAAUAGAAGCAGGGACAAUGUUAUUUCUGUAGAUU